CAGUGCGAUAAGGCUGAUCCUGUGAAGAUGCAACAGGAGAAGGAAAGAUUAGAGAGAAGGCAGCGUGAAGGACUGGUUGUGAGCGGUGUGGCUCUUCGACUUCGCCAUCCCUGCCCUGUCAAAAUGGGAAAUAUGUGAAGUCUUUUGAGCAUUAUCGAGGGGAUGUCCAUCAACUAUUCUACGUGGUUAUCUUGAUCCAGGUAUGAGAUAAUUCUACCAGCCACUCCAAAUGUUAUUGAAAACAUAGUAAUAAUAAGUUUCCCCACGUAAUUUCUUUAACAUAUGCUUUUCGUAUUUCACCAUAGUCAACUUUAUACUUGUGUAUGGAAUUAAGACAGUGCAUGUUAUUGCAGAGGACUACCAAACCUUACUAUCUUGUGUUACGAAACCAUUCUUUCAAAUUUUCACUGUGGAAUUGUUUUAGAAGCAAAGGUCCUCAUCGUCACUAUCCUUUAUGUUAAUGAAACUUCUUGCAUUGAAUUAUUCACGUUACAUGAGAACCUUUCAAUUCCUAAGAACUUCAGCUGUGAUUCUUGUGUCUUUGUAAUAACAGUCUUGCAGCCAAAAAGAUCAUGGUAAAUAGUGUCAAGAAAAGGUCUUUUACCUCAGUAAAACAAAAGUUUGUAGUGUCGAUGUUUUUAGUUACACAGCCUUAAUCAUUCAAGAAAAGAAAAAAGAAUGUGAAGUAAAUGAUAAAAAAGGAGUACUUUCAAGUCAGGAAUGCUGAGAAGAUGUUCAGAAAAUCUUUAUGUAAAUCUCCCUAUUGUUCUACGUUUCAUUAGGAA